rnacentral:rRNA from 1 species
UUUGGUGGAUGAGUGGCGAACGGGUGAGUAACACGUGAGUAACCUGCCCCUUCUUUGGGAUAACGCCCGGAAACGGGUGCUAAUACUGGAUAUUCACUUGCCUUCGCAUGGGGGUUGGUGGAAAGGGUUUUUUCUGGUGGGGGAUGGGCUCGCGGCCUAUCAGCUUGUUGGUGGGGUGAUGGCCUACCAAGGCUUUGACGGGUAGCCGGCCUGAGAGGGUGACCGGUCACAUUGGGACUGAGAUACGGCCCAG